ensembl:snoRNA small nucleolar RNA SNORD67
AUAGAGAGUGAUGAAUUGCACACUGGUGGAGCCCCGGUAUCGGGUGAUACAGGCACCACUCAGUACCACCCUGCUGACAAAGUAUUUAAAAUAGAAAUUCACA